AAUUAGAUGGUAUCCUUGAGGGACAUUAUAAGCAUAAAAAGAUUACAAAAUGCCAAAUCCCACGCGGCUUAAAUUUUAAGGAGGAUCUGUAAAUAAUGUUGGUAAAAGUCCUAAGAUUUUCGUUGGCGAAACAUAUGGCAAACGGUGUUUUCUGAAUGAUAUGUUGCAUUCAGCUAGAUUACGCAUACGCCGCGUUGUCCACUGCGAAGAGAGCGAGAAAGAGAGACGUGCACUUUCUGCGAUUGAGUGAAAGAGAAAAGUCACUCGAGAAAACGAGCUGCAUUUUUGCUCACGAAGCGCGUGCGGCGCUCAUAGUUCACACACACACACACACAUAGAUAACGCUGCAGGGGCACCCGCACACACAGACAUGCACACACUGUUCGGAAAAACGAAGCAUCGCUGCCGACUGCGCGCCGACUGCGCUGCCAACGUCGAUGCUCUUUGGGUGUUUUUGGGCUUUUGGCCAGGCUUUUUGCUUUUUGGCUCUGUCGGCUUUGGACUUUCGCAGAGAUUUCACACGCGAUGCGAUUGCAGUUCUUGCAGACACUUUCAUACGUUCGUUCGUGUUUAUUUUCGUUAGCCUUAGCCAAAAACAUCUAAAUUGCAAAUAUUCCGAUAUUUUAAGGAUAUUUGAAACACUUAGGGUUCUUUCGUUCUCUACUUAUUAAUUUUUUUUUGUGGAACACUACGCGCGCGUUUCUGUGUUGCAUAAACUCAAACAUAACAAAAAUGUUUUAUAAAUAUAUUAUUAUCAAAUAAAAAAAAAAAAGAAAUAACAGCGAAAAGUUUUUAAAAGUCAACAACCAACCAACAACAACAACAACAACAAGAAAAAAGCAAGAAAAUCCUUAAACGUAAUUUUUGUAUUUCAACAAUGCAACAACCACAACAACAACUACACCUACAAAAGAGGCAA